rnacentral:rRNA from 1 species
CCUACUGGUGGCAGCAGUGAGGAAUAUUUGUCAAUGGGCGGAAGCCUGAACCAGCCAAGUAGCGUGCGGGAUGAAGGCCCUACGGGUCGUAAACCGCUUUUGCACGGGGAUAACACCCUCCACUUGUGGAGGUCUGCAGGUACCGUGCGAAUAAGGGCCGGCUAAUUCCGUGCCAGCAGCCGCGGUAAUACGGAGGGCCCGAGCGUUAUCCGGAUUCAUUGGGCUUAAAGGGAGCGUAGGCGGGCGUUCAAGUCAGCUGUAAAAUCGCGCGGCUCAACCGCGCCCCGCAGUUGAAACUGGACGCCGUGAGUUCACAACAGGCAGGCGGAAUGCGUGGUGUAGCGGUGAAAUGCAUAGAUAUCACGCAGAACUCCGAUUGCGAAGGCAGCAUACCGGCGCCCGACUGACGCUGAGGCACGAAAGCGUGGGGAUCGAACAGGAUUAGAUACCCCAGUAGUC